UACGUAGGGGGCAAGCGUUGUCCGGAAUUAUUGGGCGUAAAGCGCGCGCAGGCGGUCAUGUAAGUCUGGUGUCUAAACCCGAGGCUCAACUUCGGGGUGCACCGGAAACUGUGUGACUGGAGUGCAGAAGAGGAGAGUGGAAUUCCACGUGUAGCGGUGAAAUGCGUAGAGAUGUGGAGGAACACCAGUGGCGAAGGCGACUCUCUGGUCUGUAACUGACGCUGAGGCGCGAAAGCGUGGGGAGCAAACAGG
rnacentral:rRNA from 1 species